rnacentral:misc_RNA from 1 species
GGCUCAAGAAGGACAGAAUCCACUCUGUUGAGUCGGUGCCUAGUUGGAAAAUUUCAGUCGUCACCAAAAGAGACACCAACUUUGAGUGAUGUGAGGAAAUGGGCAUGCAACACAUGGAAGUCAACUUUUGGAGUUAAUGUCUUCUGCAUGAAUGACUCCCAGUAUCACUUUGAAUUCCCCACAAGGUAAGCAGAAAUGUCAUGACAGGAGUAUAGACUUGGCAA